AUUGAACGCUGGCGGCAGGCCUAACACAUGCAAGUCGAGCGGAUGAAGGGAGCUUGCUCCUGGAUUCAGCGGCGGACGGGUGAGUAAUGCCUAGGAAUCUGCCUGGUAGUGGGGGAUAACGUCCGGAAACGGGCGCUAAUACCGCAUACGUCCUGAGGGAGAAAGUGGGGGAUCUUCGGACCUCACGCUAUCAGAUGAGCCUAGGUUGGAUUAGCUAGUUGGUGGGGUAAAGGCCUACCAAGGCGACGAUCCGUAACUGGUCUGAGAGGAUGAUCAGCCACACUGGAACUGAGACACGGUCCAGACUCCUACGGGAGGCAGCAGUGGGGAAUAUUGGACAAUGGGCGAAAGCCUGAUCCAGCCAUGCCGCGUGUGUGAAGAAGGUCUUCGGAUUGUAAAGCACUUUAAGUUGGGAGGAAGGGCAGUAAGUUAAUACCUUGCUGUUUUGACGUUACCAACAGAAUAAGCACCGGCUAACUUCGUG
rnacentral:rRNA from 1 species